rnacentral:rRNA from 1 species
GUCACACCCGUUCCCAUACCGAACACGGAAGUUAAGUUCUUCAGCGCCGAUGGUAGUAGGGGGCUUCCCCCUGUGAGAGUAGGACGUCGCCGGGC